CAUGUAGGCGGGAAGGUAAGUUGGUGGUGAAAUCUACAGGCUCAACCUGUAAACUGCCUCCAAAACUGCUUUUCUUGAGUACGGGAGAGGAGACUGGAAUUCCUAGUGUAGGGGUGAAAUCUGUAGAUAUUAGGAAGAACACCGGUGGCGAAGGCGAGUCUCUGGCCUGAUACUGACGCUAAUAUGCGAAAGCGUGGGUAGCGAACAGGAUUAGAUACCCUGGUAGUCC
rnacentral:rRNA from 1 species